GGAAUCAACGACAAAGCUGCCACGGUCAGUUGAUAAUGUUGCUGCAUGAACCUGCAAAUGGCGAAUCAGCAUAAUGGUUCCACCAGCAAAUACGGCAAAAUACCUGGGAAUGACUCUUGAUGCCAAACUCCGAUGGAAGACCCACAUCAAAAAGAAGCAAGAUGAGCUAAACAUCGAGUUCCGGAAACUAUACUGGCUACUUGGAAGACGAUCUGAUCUAACAAUUGUAUGAUUUGACUCCAAAAUAGUGGAUACUUGGUACUGAAACACAAAAUUGUAUUAAAUGAUAAAAGUUUAAUAGAUGAGAUUGAACGAA